AUAGUUUCUAUACAGGAGACCUGAAUGUCGAGGAGCUAAGACAAACUUUGGGGAGUUACAGAAGUGGUAAUGCU
rnacentral:pre_miRNA from 1 species